rnacentral:rRNA from 1 species
GACAGAGGGUGCAAACGUUGCUCGGAAUUACUGGGCGUAAAGGGCGUGUAGGCGGGAAGGCAAAUCGGGCGUGAAAGCCCCAGGCUCAACCUGGGAACUGCACUCGAAACUGCCUUUCUUGAGUGCCGGAGAGGAAAGCGGAAUUCCUGGUGUAGAGGUGAAAUUCGUAGAUAUCAGGAGGAACACCAGUGGCGAAGGCGGCUUUCUGGACGGUAACUGACGCUGAGACGCGAAAGCGUGGGGAGCAAACAGG